rfam:Hordeum vulgare subsp. vulgare, WGS project CAJW01000000 data, contig: morex_contig_138811
UUAAUACUCCAUCCGUCCGAAAAUACUUGUCACAUAAAUUGAUGCAUCUAGAUUUAUUUUAAUUUUAGAUACAUCCAUUUUUAUAAAUUUAUGCGACAAGUAAUUUUGAAGGGAGUGAGUAGUAG